rnacentral:rRNA from 1 species
AUGCACGCUGGCGGCGUGCCUAAUCCAUGCAAGUCGAGCGAACAGACGAGGAGCUUGCUCCUCUGACGUUAGCGGCGGACGGGUGAGUAACACGUGGAUAACCUACCUAUAAGACUGGGAUAACUUCGGGAAACCGGAGCUAAUACCGGAUAAUAUAUUGAACCGCAUGGUUCAAUAGUGAAAGACGGUUUUGCUGUCACUUAUAGAUGGAUCCGCGCCGCAUUAGCUAGUUGGUAAGGUAACGGCUUACCAAGGCGACGAUGCGUAGCCGACCUGAGAGGGUGAUCGGCCACACUGGAACUGAGACACGGUCCAGACUCCUACGGGAGGCAGCAGUAGGGAAUCUUCCGCAAUGGGCGAAAGCCUGACGGAGCAACGCCGCGUGAGUGAUGAAGGUCUUCGGAUCGUAAAACUCUGUUAUUAGGGAAGAACAAAUGUGUAAGUAACUAUGCACGUCUUGACGGUACCUAAUCAGAAAGCCACGGCUAACUACGUG